UCCCUGGUGGUCCAGUGGUUAGGACUCUGCACUUCCACUGCAGGGGGCCCGGGUUCGAUCCCUGGUCGGGGAA
rnacentral:tRNA from 1 species